ensembl:lncRNA
CAAUAUUUCAGAAAUGUCAAGCAAUGUCGAACUGCACAGCCAAUCGCAUCGAAGCGCUAUGACAUUUGGACCAAUCGCGUCGAAGCGCUAUAACAUUUUCAGCCAAUCAAAAAGCGCAAUUCAUAACAUUCUCUUAACAUUCGUGACAUUUGACCAAUCAGAGAACAGGGAGAUGUCGACGGCACGUUUCCGCGUUUCACCGCUAGGUGGAGGGGUCAGCGCUUCUAGUCAGGUGUCAAUCAAGUUGCCGAACCAUGCCGAAGGUGUACGAAAGAAUGACAUAAUCCCCAGGGGGCGUGUCAGAGGUCAAAAAAGUUCAUUACUGAAGUUCAUGACCUACGACGAGGGUCAUUGCCGCGGAGAUCAGCAUCAUUUUUACGGAGGACAGCGAAACUUCAUUUUAAAACUAAAUACAGCGGUAUUACCGACGACAACAGUCAAGAAAAAUGUCUGGCAAACAACAAAAAUCACAUAAGGCGAUGUCGGACGCCGAAUGGAUUUCGCGUUUAAAAAAGUUUGCCAGUACAGGAAUUUGGCCAUCAAAUGAGGGUAACAGGCCAGCUCCUCGACAGAAAAAGUGGUACGAGAUUUAUCAAAGGAUUGAGAAAUGUCCGAUGCUGUCUCGUGGCCAAACAACCUUGCUUGGAGGUGUGCUGAAAUGCAUCUGUGGUUUUCACAUUCCAAAGCAGCCCACUGCCUCUACUGGACCAGCACAAAGGGUGGUGGAACAACCUGCUGCUGCUGAAACAGCAAAGAAGGCCAUGGAGCGGAGUCAGCCUGACCCCCAGCCUCAUCCCCUGCCCCAGCCCCAGCCUACUGCACCAGUGGAAGCAAGAGUUGCACCACAAUUUUCAACGUUUACCAAGCCAAGAUUUACUGGCUCUCACCUUGCUGCAGCAAAGCCAAAUCUUAGUUUGGCCAGGAGACCUUCUCAGGUUGAAGACCAGCCCAGCGCAGCAGUGUCUAGUGGCUCUAUACCAAGCACCACUGCCUCUACACCAGAUCCUCAAGUUCCAUGCCCUGUCCCCAGAGCCACUGCAGAUGUGUCCAGUCCCGCUCAGCCAUGCAAUAUUGUCUCAGUAAGUAACUUCCUAUUCUGUUGGUCCUUCAAAAAUGUAAUUAAAUCAGCUGUUGCCAGACACUUAAUGGAGAUGUGAAAAGGCUUACAUGGCCUUUAAACUAAAUAAC